AUGAACGCUAGCUACAGGCUUAACACAUGCAAGUCGAGGGUACAUGAUUGGAGCUUGCUCCGAUUGAUGACGACCGGCGCACGGGUGAGUAACGCGUAUCCAACCUGCCCCAUGCUCAGGGAUAACCUUCCGAAAGGGAGCCUAAUACCUGAUGUUGUGCGACGAUGGCAUCAGAAUUGCACUAAAGAUUCAUCGGCAUGGGAUGGGGAUGCGUCUGAUUAGCUUGUUGGCGGGUAACGGCCCACCAAGGCUACGAUCAGUAGGGGUUCUGAGAGGAAGGUCCCCCACACUGGUACUGAGACACGGACCAGACUCCUACGGGAGGCAGCAGUGAGGAAUAUUGGUCAAUGGGCGGGAGCCUGAACCAGCCAAGUAGCGUGCAGGAAGACGGCCCUACGGGUUGUAAACUGCUUUUAUGAGGGGAUAAAGUGGGCUACGUGUAGCUUAUUGCAGGUACCUCAUGAAUAAGGACCGGCUAAUUCCGUGCCAGCAGCCGC
rnacentral:rRNA from 1 species